GACGAACGCUGGCGGCGUGCCUAAUGCAUGCAAGUCGAACGCAUUCUUCGGAAUGAGUGGCGCACGGCUGAGGAACACGUGACUAACCUACCCCGGUGUGGGGGAUAACGGGUCGAAAGACUCGCUAAUCCCGCAUACGAUUCACCUCGGUGAAGGAAAGCCGCAAGGCGCACUGGGCGGGGGUCGCGUCCCAUUAGGUUGUUGGUGUGGUAAUGGCGCACCAAGCCGAUGAUGGGUCUCUGGUCUGAGAGGACGACCAGACAGAUUGGGACUGAGACACGGCCCAAACUCCUACGGGGGGCAGCAGCAAGGAAUUUUCGGCAAUGGGCGCAAGCCUGACCGAGCAACGCCGCGUGGAGGAUGACGGCUCUUGGGUUGUAAACUCCUUUUGGGGGGGACGAUGAUGACGGUACCCUCCGAAUCAGGCCCGGCUAACUACGUGCCAGCAGCCGCCGCGGUAA
rnacentral:rRNA from 1 species